CCUACGAAUCAGUCGACAUUUUGUACAAAUUUUACGAACGGAAGCUCUUAUUUUCAUAUUUCCGUAUCCUUUUUUAAACUAUGAAUCUAAUAUUUUGGAAAAAAAUAAGUCUCUUCGCUUGAAUUUUAGAACUUAGAAUUUAUUACCCUAGAAAAAAAAAGAAAAACCUAAUCCUUUGAAUCUUUGGUAUUCUUCAAAUCUUCGCUAUCCUUCAAAUCUUCGCUAUCCUUCGAGUCUUCGAUACGCUUCGAAUCCUUAUGGGGAAGUCUAUAAAUUAUACGUCCCUUGCUUGAAUCAUAACGACUUACUUCAAUUUUGACCCUAUCCCCCAUCAGUAUUCGUAUAGAACUAGACCGGAUCUUUCCUGAAAUAUAGCCUAGGAUGAUGGUGUCAUUCUCUAGCCGAACGCGGAACAUUCCAUUGGGUAGGGCUUCCGUAACUAAACCUUCAAAAGUAACUUUUGCUUCUCUCGGGUUUUUUUUUCUCUCCUAUUUUUUUUUCUGUCAUAUUUUUUUCUCCUAUUUUUCCAUUUUUAUUUUCAAAAUAGGAAGGGCGAGGUAGAAUUCGAGCACUAUAGGCGGGGCGAUUACCAUAUAUAACAUAAGACUUCUCCCCCAAUUCUGUUUAGUCGAGCUUCUCGAUCUGUCAUUAUCCCUCGAGAAGUAGAAAGAAUAGCAAUUCCCAUUCCACCCAAAACUUUAGGAAUUCCUUGAUAGUUGGUAUAAAUUCGUAAGCCGGGUCGGCUAAUACGCUUUAAAAAAGUUCUUGUUCUAUAUAUUCCUUUUCGAGUCUUUCUCUUUUGAUGUCGCAAAGUUGAAACCAAGAAAUAUCUGUUACGUUCCUGAUGUUUCCGAACACUUUCAAGAAAACCCUCUCGUAGAAGUAUUUUAACAAUGUUUUCGGUAAUAUUUGUAGAUACUACUCGAACUGUUCCUUUUUUAUUCAUGUCCGCGUUUCUUAUAGAAGUUAGUAAAUCAGCAAUAGUGUCCUUGCCCAUAAGACUCUAAUUCUAGGUUCCUCCUAAUUUUUCUAUAAUCAACAUGUUUUCUUUUUUUUCUUUUCAUUUUGGAUUUUAAAACAUAUACGUAAAACACAAUCUACUAAUAUUAAUUCUUUGAUCUAAAUUUCGCCUACUAGUAUUUAUAAUACUUCAGGAGCUAAUGAAACUAUUUUGGUAAAAUUCAAUUCUCUCAAUUCCUCGGCAAUCGCGCCAAAAACUCGAGUUCCUUUUGGGUUGCCUUUUUGAUCAAUUAUAACCGCAGCAUUGUCAUCAUAGCGGAUUAUUAUACCGUCUUCGCAUUUGAAUUCUUUACAUGUACGUACAAUUACAGCUCGAAUUACUUCGGAUCUUUCUAGAGGCAUUUGGGGCAAUGCGUCUUUGAUUACAGCAACAAUAACAUCACCAAUACGAGCAUAUCGCUGAUUACCAGCAGCUCCUAUGACUCGAAUACACAUCAAUUUUCGAGCUCCACUAUUGUCUGCUACAUUUAAAAGGGUCUGAGGUUGAAUCAUAUUAUUUUGAUUUCAAUUUGUUAUUUCAAUGCAAAAGGAUGAAAGAAAUAUUGUCUUUCCAGAAAGAAAAACCGGGCAUUUUUUUUCUUCCAUACCCCUUUUAGGGUUCUAUAUCUCUAAUCGAAUAAAUUGACUUCGUAUGGGCAUUUUACUGGCCGCUAUGGAGAUAGCUGCUCUAGCUACAGUUUCAGAUACUCCCCCCAUUUCAUAAAGUAUACGACCUGGUUUAACAACGGCUACCCAAUAUUCGGGGGACCCCUUUCCCGAGCCCAUACGUGUUUCCGUGGGUCUUAGUGUAACCGGUUUGUCGGGAAAUAUACGUACCCAUAUUUUUCCACCACGACGUGCAUAUCGUGUUAUUGCUCUUCGUCCUGCUUCUAUCUGUCUCGCCGUGAUCCAAGCGGGUUCAAGUGCUUGAAGAGCAUAUCUACCAAAACAAAUACGAUUGCCUCGGAAGGAUUUUCCUUUCAUUCUUCCUCUAUGUUGUUUGCGAAAUCUGGUUCUUUUGGGGUUAUAGUCGAUGGUUCUCUUUCUUAGUUCCAUCUCUACUCCAAAACUGGACAUGAGAGUUUCUUCUCAUCCAGCUCCUCGCGAAUGGAAUGAGAAAGCAUGUAAAUAAAUUUCUCUAAUUCCAUAAUAUUUAAAAAUAUUACGGUACGGAUAGAUACACAUUAAUAGAUAAUAGAAAAAGUUAGGUUUUUUUUUAUUUUUAUAUUGAAUUUGUUAAAACAGAAAAAUAUAAUAUAUAGUCAAAAAAGAAGAUCUAGAAUAUAUCCAGAUGUGUGUGGAUAUUUAUCUAAAUUCUAUAUUUAUAGAUAAUAAUGUAGUCCUUCUAAAAAAUAUCCUUAUUUUUACUCUUAUUGAAUCGCGGUAAAGUAUUCUAAUUCAAUAAGAAUUUCGCGGGCGAAUAUUUACUCUUUCCUGUCUUAUUUGUUAAUUUAUAAACUUACCAAAUAAGACAAUUUUUUUGGUUUGUUCCGCCAUCCCACCCAAUGAAGUGUUAGGAUUCUUUUCAAUAAAAUCCUAUGGAAUCAUAGGUUCUGUCGUUCCCACUGCUUCUCCUUGAAUGGUUAGGUCUGAAUCCCGCAACGGAGCUUCCAAAAAAUUUCUUUCCGAGUUAAUUUUCUCAGUUUUAUUAACCCGGGCGGCUCUUUAUUAUUGCUUAAAAUUUGUAGUUCUUCUUUCAAGUUACAAUUUUUCAUUCUCUAUUAGUUUUAUUAUAUUGAUGCUUUUUCACAUUGCCUUUUAUGAUGUAAUUCAUAGACCAUACACAGUGGAAUUCUAUAUCUUAUUUAUUUCCUCUUCCUUCUUUCUAUCAUCCCUCCCUUUAUCCACAUCCCUUUAGUUUUGCUUCACAACCUAGAAUCCCAUUUUUUUUUUAGAUAAAAAAGUGCAGUUGCUACAACUAUAUGACACAUCUACUCAUUUAUGAUAGAGGUAUUUAUUCAUAUAGUGACUGUUUCUUAGUUAGGAUCUCGACAAUACGAAGCAAUAGGUUGGUUAUUAGUAUUAGUUAAUUUUCUAUAAUUACUAAGUUUUUUUCUUUAAAAAAGAAAAAAAAUAACGAGUCACACACUAAGCAUAGCAAUUAUAUUAAAUGAUUUAUCAAUUUUCAUUAAAUCUUAUAGAAAGAGGUAGAAUUUCUUCUUUUGCAGGGAUUUCAGGAAAAAAGUCUCUUGUCAUUUUUUAUUCUAUCAAUGGACAGAAUUCGAAGACAAGAUUAGUUAUUCUUCGUCUACGAAUAUCCAAAUUUUUACACCUAAUACUCCAUAGAUAGUUCGAAUUGGAUAGCAGCAAUAAUCAAUUUUAGCGCGGAUUGUUUGGAGGGGAAGUCUGCCCCUUUUAAUGGAUUCGGCACGUGCAAUUUCUUUUCCUCCGAGACGACCCGCAAUUUUUACUUUUACUCCCCUUAUAUCUGCUUUUUUAGUUAAUUCAAUGGCUUUUUUCAUUGCCUUUCGGAAUGAAACUCUAUUUUUUAAUUGGAAAGCUAUAUAUUCUGCAAGAAUGUUAGGCUGUCUAUAAGGUUCUUUAACUUUUUCGAUAGAAAUAUUAAAUCUCUGGUUUACAGAGUUAAUUUCCUUUUGUAGAUCUUUCUCUAAUUCUUCGAUUGCUCCUUUUUUCUUUAAUAAAUUUGGGAAUCCAAUAUGGAUUAUGACGUGGAUCGUAUCGAUUUCUUUUUGAAUUUCUAUAUGUGUAAUUACUUCGGAACUUGAACCUGAGUCCAUUUUUCUAUUAUGUGUAAUUACUUCGGAACUUGAGUCUGAUUCUAUUUUUCUAUUCGAGCCCUUUUUCCUAUUCUUUUGUAUAUAGUUCUUGAUACAAUCCCUUAUUUUUUUAUCUUCCUGUAGACCUUCAGAAUAAUUUUUUGGUUGUGCGAACCAAAAGGAAUGGUGUUUUUGGGUUGUACCAAGUCUGAAACCGAGUGGAUUUAUUUUUUGUCCCAUAUUUUUCUAUUCUAUAUUUUUUUUUACUGGGAAUCGAAAUCUUAGAUGGAUCUAAAGGUUAUUUAGAUUUCUUUACUAUAUUUAGUACAAUUGUUAUAUGACACAUGCUUUUUUUUAUAGGGAAACUACGUCCUCGAGCUCGAGGUCUGAAUUUCUUCAUAAUAGUACUCCUACUGACUUCGGCUUUAGUAAUGAAUAAAUUCGCUUUGUCGAAAUCCCUAUAAUGAGUUGCAUUUGCGGCUGCCGAAUAAACCAACUUUAAGAUGGGAUAAGAUGCUCGAUAGGGCAUGAGGUUCAGUAUCAUAACAGUUUCCUCGUAGUAACGCCACCGAAUCUCGUCAAGAACUCUUUGUGCUUUGAAAACAGACAUAGGGAUACGUUUUUGUGCUUUGAAAACUCUCUCGAACUUAAGUAGACGAUCGGUUGGAACUUUCCUUGCGAGUUUCCUUAGCCCACUUUUCUUCUUCUUUAUCCUAGGGAUAUACUUUACUAGUUUGAAACUUGUCAUAAAUAAGUUUAUUCCCCGCCUACCUUUACUUUAUUUUGAAUCUUUUUUUUCUUCUUAAUCUUUCUAUUCAGAAUUCAGUUAACGACGAGAUUUAGUAUCCUUUCUUGCAUUUUCAUAACUCGUAAAAUGCCGAGUAGGCACGAAUUCUCCCAAUUUGCGACCUACCAUAGGAUUUGUUAUGUAAAUAGGUAUAUGUUCCUUUCCAUUAUGAAUCGCAAUUGUAUGGCCAACCAUUGUGGGUAGAAUGCUAGAUGCCCGGGACCACGUUACUAUUGUUUCUUUCUCCUCCUUCAUAUUGACCUUUUCUAUCUUUGCCAAUAAAUGAUGAGCUACAAAAGGAUUCGUUUUUUUUCGUGUCACAGCUGAUUACUCCUUUUUUCCUUUUUAAAGAGUUGGCAUUCUAUGUCCAAUAUCUCGAUCGAAGUACGGAGGUCAGAAUAAAUAGAAUAAUGGAUACAACGGAAAAAAGAAAAAAUCCUUUAGCUGGACUAAGGGGCGGAUGUAGCCAAGUGGAUCAAGGCAGUGGAUUGUGAAUC
rnacentral:lncRNA from 1 species